rnacentral:misc_RNA from 1 species
AAGGUUUGAAAACUGAAAGGUUUUUUCCUUAAGGUUGAGACAAGAUUCUGUCGUGUUUCUUGUUCUAUUUCUCACUAUUGACCAUUGACAUGAAAAAAAUCGAGUCAAGUUUCUGAUCCGUAAAAUAAGAUCAGCGCUUGAGAAAUAAUCUUCAAGAUUAUGGCGAUAAAAGAAAU